rnacentral:rRNA from 1 species
AGCAGCCGCGGUAAUUCCAGCUCCAAUAGCGUAUAUUAAAGUUGUUGCAGUUAAAAAGCUCGUAGUUGAAUUUUGGAUUCUACCAAUUGGUCCAUCUUUUAGAUGAGUACUGGUUGUGUGGGGUCUAUCCGCCUGGUGAUACGUAAUGUCCUUUAUUGGAUGUUGCGGGUAGUCAGGACCUUUACCUUGAAAAAUUAGAGUGUUUAAAGCAGGCUUAUGCCGGAAUACAUUAGCAUGGAAUAAUAGAAUAGGACGAAGUUGUUUUAUUUUGUUGGUUUCUAGGACAACCGUAAUGAUUAAUAGGGAUAGUUGGGGGCAUUAGUAUUCAAUUGUCAGAGGUGAAAUUCUUGGAUUUAUUGAAGACUAACUACUGCGAAAGCAUUUGCCAAGGAUGUUUCAUUAAUCAAGAACGAAAGUUAGGGGAUACGAAGACGAUCAGAUACCGUCGUAGUCUUAACCAAUAAACUAUGCCGACUAGGGAGUCGGGCGAUGUUGUUUCCAUGACUCG